AGUGAACGCUGGCGGUAGGCCUAACACAUGCAAGUCGAACGGCAGCACAGUAAGAGCUUGCUCUUACGGGUGGCGAGUGGCGGACGGGUGAGGAAUACAUCGGAAUCUACUUUUUCGUGGGGGAUAACGUAGGGAAACUUACGCUAAUACCGCAUACGACCUACGGGUGAAAGCAGGGGAUCUUCGGACCUUGCGCGAUUGAAUGAGCCGAUGUCGGAUUAGCUAGUUGGCGGGGUAAAGGCCCACCAAGGCGACGAUCCGUAGCUGGUCUGAGAGGAUGAUCAGCCACACGGGACCUGAGACACGGUCCAGACUCCUACGGGAGGCAGCAGUGGGGAAUAUUGGACAAUGGGCGCAAGCCUGAUCCAGCCAUACCGCGUGGGUGAAGAAGGCCUUCGGGUUGUAAAGCCCUUUUGUUGGGAAAGAAAAGCAGCAGGUUAAUACCCCGCUGUUCUGACGGUACCCAAAGAAUAAGCACCGGCUAACUUCGUG
rnacentral:rRNA from 1 species